rnacentral:rRNA from 1 species
UACGUAGGGUGCAAGCGUUAAUCGGAAUUACUGGGCGUAAAGCGUGCGCAGGCGGCGAUGUAAGACAGUUGUGAAAUCCCCGGGCUCAACCUGGGAACUGCAUCUGUGACUGCAUCGCUGGAGUGCGGCAGAGGGGGAUGGAAUUCCGCGUGUAGCAGUGAAAUGCGUAGAUAUGCGGAGGAACACCGAUGGCGAAGGCAAUCCCCUGGGCCUGCACUGACGCUCAUGCACGAAAGCGUGGGGAGCAAACAGG